UCGACCGGCAUCUCCCAUCGCUGUAAUGUCCGUACGUUACUGGACCUAAGUCGUCUCCACUCCCUUUUGUGCUUGGUUCUACACCAUGUGUUCACGUAUGGCUGCAGGUCUUUAAUGUAUAAUAAACAGUUUUGAAUCGCC